AAAAAUAAAAAAUAAAAUAAGGCAUCGCUAUAUCUUCUCUCUAGGGUUAUGCGGUUGUUUUCUUCUUCUUCUUCUUCUUCUUCUUCUUCUCCGUCGUAUCUGUUCCUCUGCUUCCGUGAUGAGCCGAUAUGUAUUGUUUCUCAGUAGGAAACUUGUUACUCUGAUUCGAUUCGAUCGUUAAAUCCUUCAUCUAAGCGUUUUCGGAGUUCGAACUUACAAUUUUUUGAUAUUUAGGUAGGGUAUCGCUUAGGGAUCCAUUUUAUCCGAGAAAUAUCUUCUUCUACAAUCUGAUUCACCUCGAUUUUUCCAGUUUUGAAAGCAGUCUAUUAGGGUUUGUAGACUAAUUGGGGUCCUUUAGUGAUUGGGAUUUGUAGACGGUAGCGAUUAUGGACGCUUUUGGAAUCGGGAGUCCCGUGACUGAGGAUCCUAAGAAAUUUGGAGAUAAUCCUUCAGGUAAUACAAUGUUUGAUGCAUCUCAGUAUGCCUUUUUUGGGAACGAUGUUGUCGAGGAGGUUGAGCUGGGUGGAUUGGAGGAGGAAGAUGAGAUUUUGUCUUUCACUGGAAUAGCAGAAGACUUUUUAUUUGAUAAGGAAGAGGUUGAAGAUUCUAGACUUCUGUCUGACGUUGAUGAUCUUGCUAGUACUUUUUCAAAGUUGAAUAGGGAACCUGAUGUAUAUAGAAGUACGGGGCCAAUCACCGAUAGGCGAUCAAUACAGAAUUCUCUAGCUGCUGAGUGGACCCAUGGGGAGGAGUUGCCAAAUUGGUACGGCCGGCCAAUACUGGACUCUGAUGCCAUUAAAGAUGACAAGGCGUGGUCAGCACAGCCUUUUUCAUCUCUGGACCUUGUUGAGCAGAGAAACCCUGACAGAACAAAAUUGUAUCCAGAACCACAGCGUCAACUGCAUCAAGACCAUAAUCAACAACAGUUUUCCAGCGAACCAAUUCUUGUCCCGAAGUCAUCUUUUGUUUCAUACCCUCCUCCAGGCAGCAUAUCACCUGAUCAGCGUUUAGGACACCCUAAUAUACCAUAUCAAUCUGGUGGGCCUCAAAUGGGAUCGCCAAACUUCUCUCCUUUUCCAACUUUGCAGCCUCAGUUGCCUACCAUGCAUCAUGGAUCACCGCAGCAUGCUGGAAACAGGCCUCAGUUUUGUCCUGCUCUUCCUCUGAAUAAUCGCCCUCCAUCUCAAUGGAUGAAUCGUCAAAAUAUGCAUCCUGGGGAUAGUUCCGGGAUCAUGAAUAAUGCGAUGCUACAACAGCCACCUCAUCAAAACGGUUUGAUGCCUCCACAGAUGCAGGGCUCUCAGAAUAGGUUACCACAUCCGAUGCAGCCUCCUCUUGGGCAUAUGCCAGGAAUGCAGCCUCAGUUAUUUAAUUCCCAUCUUUCUCGAUCAUCUUCAUCUGGAAAUUAUGAUGGAAUGCUUGGGUUUGGUGAUCUGAGGGAAGCAAGACCAGGAUCAGGUCAUGGGAACAGACAGAACAUGCGUUUUCAACAACAAGGCUUUGAUACUGGCAUUCAGAGAAGAUAUCCAUUCCGGUCUAAAUAUAUGUCAGCUGGUGAGAUAGAGAAUAUACUGAGAAUGCAGCUUGUUGCUACACACAGCAAUGAUCCUUACGUUGAUGAUUACUAUCACCAAGCCUGUCUUGCUAAGAAAUCUGCAGGUGCAAAACUGAAGCAUCAUUUCUGUCCAAAUCAUUUGAGGGACCUCCAACAGCGUGCACGGACAAACAACGAGCCUCAUGCUUUUCUUCAGGUUGAGGCUCUUGGUAGGGUUCCUUUCUCUUCAAUCCGCAGGCCUCGUCCUCUUCUUGAAGUGGGCCCUCCAAAUUCAGCUAAAUCUGGUAAUGCAGAGCAUACCGAUAAGCCCCUUGAUCAAGAACCGAUGCUUGCAGCUAGAGUGUACAUUGAGGAUGGUCUUUGUCUCCUCCUUGAAGUUGAUGAUAUAGAUCGUUUCUUGGAGUUCAACCAACUCCAGGACGGAGGAAACCAGUUGAAACAAAGACGACAGUCAUUGUUGCAGAACCUUGCGGCUUCACUUCAGCUCGGUGAUCCCCUCGCCAAGAAUGGGCAAAGCCGGUCUCAUGAUGAUUUUCUCUUUCUAAGGAUUAUCUCUCUUCCAAAGGGUCGGAAGCUCCUUAUAAGGUAUCUUCAGCUAAUUUUCCCUGGCAGCGACCUAAUGCGGAUAGUUUGCAUGGCCAUUUUCCGUCAUUUAAGGUCAUUGUUCGGAGUUCUUUCAUCUGACCCCGAUAUCAUGAAAACCACAAAUAAGCUUGCAAAAGUUAUCAAUGUGUGCAUUCAAAACAUGGAGUUAGGACCGGUAAGCACGUGUCUAGCAGCGGUGUCUUGUUCUUCUGAGCAGGCACCGCUCCGCCCCUUAGGCAGUCCUGUUGGAGACGGAGCUUCCAUGGUACUGAAAUCAACACUCGACAGAGCUUCGGAGCUUAUUCGGGCUAAUAAUUUCAACAACACAGGGAUGGCUCUAUGGCGCGCUUCCUUUAACGAGUUCUUUAAUAUGUUGAUGAGGUACUGCAUCAGCAAAUAUGAUAGCAUCAUGCAGAGUUUGAAUUCACAAUUGCCACCGCAGUUUGCUACUGAGAUAUCUGAUGCAGCUGCACAAGCCAUUGUCCGCGAAAUGCCAAUAGAGCUUCUACGUUCAAGUUUCCCACACAUUGAUGAGCAGCAAAAGAGAAUACUAAUGGAGUUUUUGAAACGAUCUAUGCUCGGAAGCCAGAAAACCGAGCCAGUCUUAAGUUGAUAGUAUCAAAGAUUGAAGCAGUAAAAUCAAGAAACUGUAUGGCGAAGUCUGUAUAUGAAGGCAUAAGAUCAUGCAGAUACCGUGAGAAGAAAGGUAAAAGCAGCGGAGAAGAAGUUUGGUCUCUGUACAGAGAAAAGGUCUUUAGCUUUGCAGAACUUAUGAAAGAGUUAUCAGACAUUUGUGUUUUUGUCUUUUGUUUAGUUAAAUCCCAUUGUGGUUUCGAUAUUUGUUUUUGAAAUCUCUUUCCUUUUUUGUCUUUCUCUGUUUUACCAAUAAACAUUUUGAGUUAUGCUUUGGCAAUGAUUAUUCCAUUUUGUUCUU